GUCUCUUCGGAGACAACUAAUAAAAUUAGAAUGAUACUGAGAAGAUUAGCCUGGUACUUGUGCAAGGAUGACAUGUACAAAACAAGAAAUGGUCCAAUUUUUU